CCCACCUAGAUUCCCUUACAAGUGAGUUGUAGUUCUUUGAGUAAAUUAUCUGUAAUGGCAUGUGAGAGGAAGUGAUGUCUCCCUCUUUCAGCCCUGGCUCAUAAAAAAACCUACAUGUGCAUCUCCAUGCUCUUUCCCACUUCUAACAGACAGAGGUGGAGAAAACCACCAGGACAACUUUGGAAACCAUGUGUUGAAGAAGGCAAAACUGGAGUUUCCUGGACUAUUACAUAAGCAAGAGAACCCUGACUAAUACAGAUGUUGUGGGUAUGAAUGAAAACACACAAGAAAAUGUAGUCUAAGGAGAGAAGAGGAACUAAAAUGGAACCCUGAAAUGCUUCAGGAAAAAAACAAAUAAGGAGAUUGAAAAUUACCCAGAGGAGAGCAUCUUAGAGACCAUUGUUGACUUUCCAGAUAAAGGUUUUAAUGGAGCAGGGGUUUCCCAGGCGGCAGACCCGGUACCUGUCCGAGGCCUGUUAAGAGCCAGCCCACACAGCAGGAGGUGAGCAGUGGGCAAGCUUCAUCUGCUGCUCCCCAUCGCUCUCAUUACUGCCGGAACCAGCCACCGAAGCCCCCAUGGAAACAUUGUCUUCCACGAAACCGGUCCCUGCUGCCAAAAAGGUUGGGGACCUUUGCCUUUAUGCCCAUUUUCCUUAUGCGGACACCGAGGUUCAGAAGGGCAUGCAAGCUGCCCAAGUUCAUGGAAUUAGUAAGUGGAAAAAUCUAAGCACGCAACUUUUGCUUCCCAAUUUCAUUCUCGGCCCCUCCUCCCUCCCGGCAGAGCUGGCUCCACUGAAGGCUGAAGCCAGAUAACGAGAUGAGGCUUGGACAUGGGCCACGUCUAAACAUUGAGGUAUUGAAUUUAUAAUAACCG